GGAAAACUGGAGAAGACCAAAGGGUAUUGACUCCAGAGUCAGGCGAAAGUUCAAAGGUGUCACUCUUAUGCCCAACAUUGGAUACGGAUCAGACAAGAAGACUCGCCAUUUUCUCCCAAAUGGAUUCAAGAAGUUCGUUGUUCACAAUGCCAAAGAGUUGGAAGUCCUCAUGAUGCACAACAGGUAAUAAUAAAUAAUAAUAAUAAUAAUUUAUAAUAUCUGUGUUCCUUUAAGCAUUAAUUUGUAUAUACAUAUUUAAUUGUUGAUAUGUGUGUUUCUUAAUAGGACCUAUUGUGCUGAAAUUGCACACAAUGUGUCUACACGCAAAAGGAAGGAGAUUGUUGAGCGUGCAGCACAGUUGGAUGUUGUUGUUACCAACAAAUUGGCAAGGUUGCGCAGCCAGGAAGACGAG
rnacentral:lncRNA from 1 species